AAGUGUCAGGUCAUUGCGUCUUGUCACGAACACCUCAUUGCCAUGUCAUCACCUUCAAUGAUGUGUCAAUGACGUGUUAGUGACAAGGCAUCAUGACAUGACACUUUGU
rfam:Glycine max cultivar Williams 82 chromosome 10, whole genome shotgun sequence.